rnacentral:rRNA from 1 species
GGGUUGUGAGGUUAAGCGACUAAGCGUACACGGUGGAUGCCCUGGCAGUCAGAGGCGAUGAAGGACGUGCUAAUCUGCGAUAAGCGUCGGUAAGGUGAUAUGAACCGUUAUAACCGGCGAUUUCCGAAUGGGGAAACCCAGUGUGAUUCGUCACACUAUCAUUAACUGAAUCCAUAGGUUAAUGAGGCGAACCGGGGGAACUGAAACAUCUAAGUACCCCGAGGAAAAGAAAUCAACCGAGAUUCCCCCAGUAGCGGCGAGCGAACGGGGAGCAGCCCAGAGCCUGAAUCAGUGUGUGUGUUAGUGGAAGCGUCUGGAAAGGCGCGCGAUACAGGGUGACAGCCCCGUACACAAAAAUGCACAUGCUGUGAGCUCGAUGAGUAGGGCGGGACACGUGGUAUCCUGUCUGAAUAUGGGGGGACCAUCCUCCAAGGCUAAAUACUCCUGACUGACCGAUAGUGAACCAGUACCGUGAGGGAAAGGCGAAAAGAACCCCGGCGAGGGGAGUGAAAAAGAACCUGAAACCGUGUACGUACAAGCAGUGGGAGCACGCUUAGGCGUGUGACUGCGUACCUUUUGUAUAAUGGGUCAGCGACUUAUAUUCUGUAGCAAGGUUAACCGAAUAGGGGAGCCGAAGGGAAACCGAGUCUUAACUGGGCGUUAAGUUGCAGGGUAUAGACCCGAAACCCGGUGAUCUAGCCAUGGGCAGGUUGAAGGUUGGGUAACACUAACUGGAGGACCGAACCGACUAAUGUUGAAAAAUUAGCGGAUGACUUGUGGCUGGGGGUGAAAGGCCAAUCAAACCGGGAGAUAGCUGGUUCUCCCCGAAAGCUAUUUAGGUAGCGCCUCGUGAAUUCAUCUCCGGGGGUAGAGCACUGUUUCGGCAAGGGGGUCAUCCCGACUUACCAACCCGAUGCAAACUGCGAAUACCGGAGAAUGUUAUCACGGGAGACACACGGCGGGUGCUAACGUCCGUCGUGAAGAGGGAAACAACCCAGACCGCCAGCUAAGGUCCCAAAGUCAUGGUUAAGUGGGAAACGAUGUGGGAAGGCCCAGACAGCCAGGAUGUUGGCUUAGAAGCAGCCAUCAUUUAAAGAAAGCGUAAUAGCUCACUGGUCGAGUCGGCCUGCGCGGAAGAUGUAACGGGGCUAAACCAUGCACCGAAGCUGCGGCAGCGACGCUUAUGCGUUGUUGGGUAGGGGAGCGUUCUGUAAGCCUGUGAAGGUGUGCUGUGAGGCAUGCUGGAGGUAUCAGAAGUGCGAAUGCUGACAUAAGUAACGAUAAAGCGGGUGAAAAGCCCGCUCGCCGGAAGACCAAGGGUUCCUGUCCAACGUUAAUCGGGGCAGGGUGAGUCGACCCCUAAGGCGAGGCCGAAAGGCGUAGUCGAUGGGAAACAGGUUAAUAUUCCUGUACUUGGUGUUACUGCGAAGGGGGGACGGAGAAGGCUAUGUUGGCCGGGCGACGGUUGUCCCGGUUUAAGCGUGUAGGCUGGUUUUCCAGGCAAAUCCGGAAAAUCAAGGCUGAGGCGUGAUGACGAGGCACUACGGUGCUGAAGCAACAAAUGCCCUGCUUCCAGGAAAAGCCUCUAAGCAUCAGGUAACAUCAAAUCGUACCCCAAACCGACACAGGUGGUCAGGUAGAGAAUACCAAGGCGCUUGAGAGAACUCGGGUGAAGGAACUAGGCAAAAUGGUGCCGUAACUUCGGGAGAAGGCACGCUGAUAUGUAGGUGAAGUCCCUCGCGGAUGGAGCUGAAAUCAGUCGAAGAUACCAGCUGGCUGCAACUGUUUAUUAAAAACACAGCACUGUGCAAACACGAAAGUGGACGUAUACGGUGUGACGCCUGCCCGGUGCCGGAAGGUUAAUUGAUGGGGUCAGCGCAAGCGAAGCUCUUGAUCGAAGCCCCGGUAAACGGCGGCCGUAACUAUAACGGUCCUAAGGUAGCGAAAUUCCUUGUCGGGUAAGUUCCGACCUGCACGAAUGGCGUAAUGAUGGCCAGGCUGUCUCCACCCGAGACUCAGUGAAAUUGAACUCGCUGUGAAGAUGCAGUGUACCCGCGGCAAGACGGAAAGACCCCGUGAACCUUUACUAUAGCUUGACACUGAACAUUGAGCCUUGAUGUGUAGGAUAGGUGGGAGGCUUAGAAGUGUGGACGCCAGUCUGCAUGGAGCCGAC